AAGGCGCAAGCCGCUUCUUGAUGGGUCUGCGGCCUAUCAGCUAGUUGGUGAGGUAAAGGCUCACCAAGGCGACGACGGGUAGCUGGUCUGAGAGGACGAUCAGCCACACUGGAACUGAGACACGGUCCAGACACCUACGGGUGGCAGCAGUCGAGAAUCUUUCACAAUGGGCGAAAGCCUGAUGGAGCGACGCCGCGUGGAGGUUAAGGUCUUCGGAUUGUAAACUCCUGUCAUGCGAGAACAAAGCCCUUACGGGUGUGAUAGUAUCGCAAGAGGAAGAGACGGCUAACUCUGUGCCAGCAGCCGCGGUAAUACAGAGGUCUCAAGCGUUGUUCGGAAUUACUGGGCGUAAAGGGUGCGCAGGCUGCGUUGAAAGUCAGAUGUGCAAUUCAGGGGCUCACCCUCUGGACUGCAUCCGAUACUACAACGCUAGAGUCAUGGAGGGGGAUCUGGAAUUCUCGGUGUAGCAGUGAAAUGCGUAGAUAUCGAGAGGAACACCAACGGCGAAGGCAAGAUCCUGGACAUGUACUGACGCUCAUGCACGAAGGCUUGGGUAGCAAACGGGAUUAGAUACCCCGGUAGUCCAAGCAGUAAACGGUGCACGCUUGGUAUGGGAGGCAACACCUUCCGUGCCGUAGCUAACGCGAUAAGCGUGCCGCCUGGGUAGUACGAUCGCAAGAUU
rnacentral:rRNA from 1 species